CGUGGGUAACCUGCCCUUAAGUCUGGGAUAACACCUGGAAACAGAUGCUAAUACCGGAUAACAACAGAUGAUGCCUAUCAACUGUUUAAAAGAUGGUUCUGCUAUCACUCUUGGAUGGACCUGCGGUGCAUUAGCUAGUUGGUAGGGUAACGGCCUACCAAGGCGAUGAUGCAUAGCCGAGUUGAGAGACUGAUCGGCCNCAUUGGGACUGAGACACGGCCCAAACUCCUACGGGAGGCAGCAGUU
rnacentral:rRNA from 1 species